UUGACUUACUUGCAUGCUCCUCAUAGAACGUUUUGGUUCAUGGCUAUGAAGAGGUAACUGCAAAAAGAUGUGUGCAGAUCCCGGUACUGGUAGGGGAUAUACAAGUGGGGAAUAAGAAAAAAGAAAUUAAGCAAAAUGUCUUUACUCAAGGAUCUCUAUAAAAAUUUAUUUUUAAGAAAGCCUGAGUAAGCAUGUAUAUUUUUUUCCUGUGACUUUAAGUGUAAUGACAGCAUUAAAAAUAAAUUAUGCUGUCAAUAUACAAAAAAUAUCUUUUCAUUAUAAGCAUAUAUAAAGCCUUCUGCAACUAUUACAUAUCACUUUAUCGAAUCCAAACUUUUUUGCUUGUUCCCUUUUGUGGUCCCUAGUUUUUCACAUCCUCAUAGAGGACAAAAGCCUUUAGAGAUCCAUCAAUUCAACCC
rnacentral:lncRNA from 10 species